rnacentral:rRNA from 1 species
UACGUAGGGUGCAAGCGUUGUCCGGAAUCAUUGGGCGUAAAGAGCGUGUAGGCGGCCCGAUAAGUCCGCUGUGAAAGUCCAGGGCUCAACCCUGGAAUGCCGGUGGAUACUGUCGGGCUAGAGUCCGGAAGGGGCGAGUGGAAUCCUGGUGUAGCGGUGAAAUGCGCAGAUAUCAGGAGGAACACCAAUGGCGAAGGCAGCUCGCUGGGACGGUACUGACGCUGAGACGCGAAAGCGUGGGGAGCAAACAGG